CGGAGAGUGGCGCAGUCAGGCAGCGCACUACGUUCGGGACGUAGGGGUCGUGGGUUCGAAUCCCAUCUCUCCGA
rnacentral:tRNA from 1 species